AGGAUUAGUACGAACAUGUAGCGAAGAGAUCUUGGCGAUGAGAAUUGAGAUGCUUCUGACAUCGAGUCAUGCCAGUCCUUGUCUGUGCCGAGCAAGCCUCUUGCAUAGCAGGCUUCUUGAAAGGUAUUGUAUUUGAUGUCACCCACUGAAUAUAAAUCGUCAUAGCAUGUAGGGCCUCGUACUACGCUGACCAAAAUGCGCAAGUAAUAUUUAUCACCAGCUGCUGGGUUAAUGUUUACAAUCCGUCCAAUGGUCCCUUUCUGCUUUCUUUUUGUGUAGAUCUUGUUUGAACUAUCCUAGACAAACAUAAGUAGUAUCUCAAUGUACUUUAAUUUCCUGACUUCUUCGUAGAGUCUGUUCAUUUCAAACCACUCUGUUAACAUAGUUCUGCCAUGUAGGUACCGGUUCUCGACAUUCCCAAGGUCCUCAUCUUCUUCAAAUAUAGCCGUCUGUUCUCCAGGGAGGUGUACUGGCAUUUUCUGUACCGCUGGGGUGUGGUGGUGAAUAGAAAACUCAAAUAUUCUCCACAUCGAUUCACAUGCUGAAAGGUACCUCCCGUCUAAAUAAUUAUCUAUCUCAUUGGUCGGCUUUUCUUUUUUGUUUGUCUCCGACUGAGUAGACUGGUCUUGGUUUUUUUGGAACCUGAAGCAUGAUCUAUCAACACCCUUUGUAAUGUACUUGAACAGGUAUUUGAUUGCGCUUGAUUUGUUGCACCAUUCAACAUUGACAUGUGCCUUGUAUUUUUUCAGGAUCUGGAGAUUGUGGGGAACAACAAAUUGAUUGUCAAGCUUGAUGUUUCCCUUGUAAACAAACUGUUCUGUCUACCGUCGCCUGUAUAAGAUGUAGCCGGACUCAUUAACUUGAGUGUGUGAAACGUAGCUGCGGGGAAAUUUUUUACUGCAAACACC
rnacentral:lncRNA from 1 species